rnacentral:rRNA from 1 species
AGCGAACGCUGGCGGCAGGCUUAACACAUGCAAGUCGAGCGGGCCCUUCGGGGUCAGCGGCAGACGGGUGAGUAACACGUGGGAACGUACCCUUCGGUUCGGAAUAACUCAGGGAAACUUGAGCUAAUACCGGAUACGCCCUUUGGGGGAAAGGUUUACUGCCGAAGGAUCGGCCCGCGUCUGAUUAGCUAGUUGGUGGGGUAAUGGCCCACCAAGGCGACGAUCAGUAGCUGGUCUGAGAGGAUGANCAGCCACACUGGGACUGAGACACGGCCCAGACUCCUACGGGAGGCAGCAGUGGGGAAUAUUGCACAAUGGGCGGAAGCCUGAUGCAGCGACGCCGCGUGA